UACGGAGCGGCAGACGGGAGAGUAACACGUGGGAACGUGCCUUUUGGUUCGGAACAACUGAGGGAAACUUCAGCUAAUACCGGAUAAGCCCUUACGGGGAAAGAUUUAUCGCCAAAAGAUCGGCCCGCGUCUGAUUAGCUAGUUGGUGGGGUAAUGGCCCACCAAGGCGACGAUCAGUAGCUGGUCUGAGAGGAUGAUCAGCCUCACUGGGACUGAGACACGGCCCAGACUCCUACGGGAGGCAGCAGUGGGGAAUAUUGGACAAUGGGCGCAAGCCUGAUCCAGCCAUGCCGCGUGGGUGAUGAAGGCCUUAGGGUUGUAAAGCCCUUUCGGCGGGGAAGAUAAUGACGGUACCCGCAGAAGAAGCCCCGGCUAACUUCGUGCCAGCAGCCGCGGUAAUACGAAGGGGGCUAGCGUUGCUCGGAAUCACUGGGCGUAAAGCGCACGUAGGCGGCUUUCUAAGUCAGGGGUGAAAUCCUGGAGCUCAACUCCAGAACUGCCUUUGAUACUGGGAAGCUUGAGUUCGGGAGAGGUGAGUGGAACUGCGAGUGUAGAGGUGAAAUUCGUAGAUAUUCGCAAGAACACCAGUGGCGAAGGCGGCUCACUGGCCCGAUACUGACGCUGAGGUGCGAAAGCGU
rnacentral:rRNA from 1 species